rnacentral:misc_RNA from 1 species
GCUCGACGGUACGACGCCACAAGACCCAGCGAGACACACGGAGAUGGCGGCUGCUACGGCAACCAGAGUCGCUGCUGCGACAGCGGCACUUGUGCUGCUGCUGAGCUGUGCAGCAGCUGCGCAGGAGCUGGUCGAGGACAUGCAGAUGGUGUCGUCGGGACAGCGGGAGCACUACGUGCACAAGGACGGCGGCGACCACGGCACCGUCGGAUACCUGCGCACCAAAGACAGCCGCGGCGACGACGGCUACAAG